rnacentral:rRNA from 1 species
UACGAAAGGGGCUAGCGUUGCUCGGAAUCACUGGGCGUAAAGGGUGCGUAGGCGGGUCUUUAAGUCAGGGGGGAAAUCCUGGAGCUCAACUCCAGAACUGCCUUUGAUACUGAAGAUCUUGAGUUCGGGAGAGGUGAGUGGAACUGCGAGUGUAGAGGUGAAAUUCGUAGAUAUUCGCAAGAACACCAGUGGCGAAGGCGGCUCACUGGCCCGAUACUGACGCUGAGGCACGAAAGCGUGGGGAGCAAACAGG